rnacentral:rRNA from 1 species
GACGAACCGAGCGACCGUUGUUCGGAAUCACUGGGCUUAAAGGGCGCGUAGGCGGGCUGUCAAGUCUGGGGUGAAAUCCCGCGGCUCAACCGCGGAACUGCCUCAGAUACUGACGGUCUCGAGGGGGGUAGGGGCAACUGGAAUUCUCGGUGUAGCGGUGAAAUGCGUAGAUAUCGAGAGGAACACCUGCGGCGAAGGCGGGUUGCGGGGCUGACACUGACGCAGAGGCGCGAAAGCCAGGGGAGCGAACGGG